GAAGUGUGAUCAACUAAUGCUUGCCACAUAUAUCAAACAGAAAAAUAUCAAAAUACAGGGUUACAUAAAACCCCAAAGGCAAUAGUGUUCUCCUCCUGCAUCUGUUUGCCAAAAACAAUCAAAAUAGAACAACAGAUGGAUUGAGUAGCAGGCACUUGAAAGCUGGAGAAAUCAAAUGGAAGGAAAAAAAUCAGAAGAACACAUUUAAGUGCUUUUGCUGAGAGCAUGGCCAAAUCCUUCCUCGUGUGGCUGUUAUUCUUGGUUUGGGGAUGUGCAUGCAUAGCAUGUAUGAGGAGGGUGGUAAGUACUGAAGGCAGUGGCAU